rnacentral:rRNA from 1 species
GGUUAAGCGACUAAGCGUACACGGUGGAUGCCCUGGCAGUCAGAGGCGAUGAAGGACGUGCUAAUCUGCGAUAAGCGUCGGUAAGGUGAUAUGAACCGUUAUAACCGGCGAUUUCCGAAUGGGGAAACCCAGUGUGAUUUGUCACACUAUCAUUAACUGAAUCCAUAGGUUAAUGAGGCGAACCGGGGGAACUGAAACAUCUAAGUACCCCGAGGAAAAGAAAUCAACCGAGAUUCCCCCAGUAGCGGCGAGCGAACGGGGAGGAGCCCAGAGCCUGAAUCAGUGUGUGUGUUAGUGGAAGCGUCUGGAAAGGCGCGCGAUACAGGGUGACAGCCCCGUACACAAAAAUGCACAUGCUGUGAGCUCGAUGAGUAGGGCGGGACACGUGGUAUCCUGUCUGAAUAUGGGGGGACCAUCCUCCAAGGCUAAAUACUCCUGACUGACCGAUAGUGAACCAGUACCGUGAGGGAAAGGCGAAAAGAACCCCGGCGAGGGGAGUGAAAAAGAACCUGAAACCGUGUACGUACAAGCAGUGGGAGCACGCUUAGGCGUGUGACUGCGUACCUUUUGUAUAAUGGGUCAGCGACUUAUAUUCUGUAGCAAGGUUAACCGAAUAGGGGAGCCGAAGGGAAACCGAGUCUUAACUGGGCGUUAAGUUGCAGGGUAUAGACCCGAAACCCGGUGAUCUAGCCAUGGGCAGGUUGAAGGUUGGGUAACACUAACUGGAGGACCGAACCGACUAAUGUUGAAAAAUUAGCGGAUGACUUGUGGCUGGGGGUGAAAGGCCAAUCAAACCGGGAGAUAGCUGGUUCUCCCCGAAAGCUAUUUAGGUAGCGCCUCGUGAAUUCAUCUCCGGGGGUAGAGCACUGUUUCGGCAAGGGGGUCAUCCCGACUUACCAACCCGAUGCAAACUGCGAAUACCGGAGAAUGUUAUCACGGGAGACACACGGCGGGUGCUAACGUCCGUCGUGAAGAGGGAAACAACCCAGACCGCCAGCUAAGGUCCCAAAGUCAUGGUUAAGUGGGAAACGAUGUGGGAAGGCCCAGACAGCCAGGAUGUUGGCUUAGAAGCAGCCAUCAUUUAAAGAAAGCGUAAUAGCUCACUGGUCGAGUCGGCCUGCGCGGAAGAUGUAACGGGGCUAAACCAUGCACCGAAGCUGCGGCAGCGACACUAUGUGUUGUUGGGUAGGGGAGCGUUCUGUAAGCCUGUGAAGGUGGCCUGUGAGGGUUGCUGGAGGUAUCAGAAGUGCGAAUGCUGACAUAAGUAACGAUAAAGCGGGUGAAAAGCCCGCUCGCCGGAAGACCAAGGGUUCCUGUCCAACGUUAAUCGGGGCAGGGUGAGUCGACCCCUAAGGCGAGGCCGAAAGGCGUAGUCGAUGGGAAACAGGUUAAUAUUCCUGUACUUGGUGUUACUGCGAAGGGGGGACGGAGAAGGCUAUGUUGGCCGGGCGACGGUUGUCCCGGUUUAAGCGUGUAGGCUGGUUUUCCAGGCAAAUCCGGAAAACUAAGGCUGAGGCGUGAUGACGAGGUACUACGGUGCUGAAGCAACAAAUGCCCUGCUUCCAGGAAAAGCCUCUAAGCAUCAGGUAACAUCAAAUCGUACCCCAAACCGACACAGGUGGUCAGGUAGAGAAUACCAAGGCGCUUGAGAGAACUCGGGUGAAGGAACUAGGCAAAAUGGUGCCGUAACUUCGGGAGAAGGCACGCUGAUAUGUAGGUGAAGCGACUUGCUCGUGGAGCUGAAAUCAGUCGAAGAUACCAGCUGGCUGCAACUGUUUAUUAAAAACACAGCACUGUGCAAACACGAAAGUGGACGUAUACGGUGUGACGCCUGCCCGGUGCCGGAAGGUUAAUUGAUGGGGUUAGCGGUAACGCGAAGCUCUUGAUCGAAGCCCCGGUAAACGGCGGCCGUAACUAUAACGGUCCUAAGGUAGCGAAAUUCCUUGUCGGGUAAGUUCCGACCUGCACGAAUGGCGUAAUGAUGGCCAGGCUGUCUCCACCCGAGACUCAGUGAAAUUGAACUCGCUGUGAAGAUGCAGUGUACCCGCGGCAAGACGGAAAGACCCCGUGAACCUUUACUAUAGCUUGACACUGAACAUUGAGCCUUGAUGUGUAGGAUAGGUGGGAGGCUUUGAAGUGUGGACGCCAGUCUGCAUGGAGCCGACCUUGAAAUACCACCCUUUAAUGUUUGAUGUUCUAACGUUGACCCGUGAUCCGGGUUGCGGACAGUGUCUGGUGGGUAGUUUGACUGGGGCGGUCUCCUCCUAAAGAGUAACGGAGGAGCACGAAGGUUGGCUAAUCCUGGUCGGACAUCAGGAGGUUAGUGCAAUGGCAUAAGCCAGCUUGACUGCGAGCGUGACGGCGCGAGCAGGUGCGAAAGCAGGUCAUAGUGAUCCGGUGGUUCUGAAUGGAAGGGCCAUCGCUCAACGGAUAAAAGGUACUCCGGGGAUAACAGGCUGAUACCGCCCAAGAGUUCAUAUCGACGGCGGUGUUUGGCACCUCGAUGUCGGCUCAUCACAUCCUGGGGCUGAAGUAGGUCCCAAGGGUAUGGCUGUUCGCCAUUUAAAGUGGUACGCGAGCUGGGUUUAGAACGUCGUGAGACAGUUCGGUCCCUAUCUGCCGUGGGCGCUGGAGAACUGAGGGGGGCUGCUCCUAGUACGAGAGGACCGGAGUGGACGCAUCACUGGUGUUCGGGUUGUCAUGCCAAUGGCACUGCCCGGUAGCUAAAUGCGGAAGAGAUAAGUGCUGAAAGCAUCUAAGCACGAAACUUGCCCCGAGAUGAGUUCUCCCUGACUCCCUGAGAGUCCUGAAGGAACGUUGAAGACGACGACGUUGAUAGGCCGGGUGUGUAAGCGCAGCGAUGCGUUGAGCUAACCGGUACUAAUGAACCGUGAGGCUUAACCUU